CUACGGGUCGCUGCAGUGAGGAAUAUUGCACAAUGGGGGGAACCCUGAUGCAGCAACGCCGCGUGGAGGAUGACGCAUUUCGGUGUGUAAACUCCUCUUAUAUGUCAAGAAAAUGACGGUAGCAUAUGAAUAAGCACCGGCUAACUCCGUGCCAGCAGCCGCGGUAAUACGGAGGGUGCAAGCGUUACUCGGAAUCACUGGGCGUAAAGGACGCGUGGGCGGGGUGGAAAGUCAGGUGUGAAAUCCUACAGCUUAACGGUAGAACUGCACUUGAAACUUCUAAUCUAGAGUAUGGGAGGGGGAGAUGGAAUUAGUGGUGUAGGGGUAAAAUCCGUAGAUAUCACUAGGAAUACCUAAAGCGAAGGCGAUCUCCUGGAACAUUACUGACGCUAAGGCGUGAAAGCGUGGGGAGCAAACAGGAUUAGAUACCCUCGUAGUC
rnacentral:rRNA from 1 species